UUCAAAAAGAAAAAGCCAUGCCCCCACAAUAUUAGUAUAUAUAUAUACUAUAUAGAGCUCUUUUGUGACUAACUUCCUAUGUGCGUAUAGAAUUUAUUAGUCCAAAUUAAAUUAGAAGUGGAAAUGGCUAUGCCCAAGUGUUUUUGGCUCUUUUUCUGGUUCUGUAUGAUCGUUGCCAUGCUUCAACAACCAAGAGAGUUAGAAGCCAGGCCAUUGACACUUCAAAAAGGGCGCUUAAAUAACUUUGUUGCAACACUUGGGAUUGAGUGCAAGUGUUGUGAUGGAAUAAAAGGUGAAUGCAGGAGCACCUGGGACUCUUCUUGCCCCAAGCUUCAAUGCCUUCCAUGGAAGCACCAGUAAUUAAAUGUAUAAGGAUUAAGGAAUAUACUUUUAUGCCUGUUGUACUAUAUGUAUUGUAAUCUCUUAUAUUCCUAUGCUAUAUUAUUUAUGUUGACUACUUUUGACUUUGCCUUCUUACUAAUAAAAGGCGUUCUGUAAUAUAUUUACUC